rnacentral:rRNA from 1 species
CAGUAGCCGCGGGAAUACGUAGGGUGCAAGCGUUAAUCGGAAUUACUGGGCGUAAAGCGUGCGCAGGCGGUUAUAUAAGUCAGAUGUGAAAUCCCCGGGCUCAACCUGGGAACUGCAUUUGAGACUGUAUGGCUAGAGUGUGUCAGAGGGGGGUAGAAUUCCACGUGUAGCGGUGAAAUGCGUAGAUAUGUGGAGGAAUACCGAUGGCGAAGGCAAUCCCCUGGACCUGUACUGACGCUCAUGCGCGAAAGCGUGGGGAGCAAACAGGAUUAGAUACCCCAGUAGUCCCUGUCUCUUAUAC